GACGAACCGUACGAACGUUAUUCGGAAUCACUGGGCUUAAAGGGUGCGUAGGCUGCGCAGCAAGUUGGGUGUGAAAUCCCUCGGCUUAACCGAGGAACUGCGCCCAAAACUGCUGUGCUCGAGGGAGAUAGAGGUGAGCGGAACUUAGGGUGGAGCGGUGAAAUGCGUUGAUAUCCUAAGGAACACCGGUGGCGAAAGCGGCUCACUGGAUCUCUUCUGACGCUGAGGCACGAAAGCGUGGGUAGCAAACAGG
rnacentral:rRNA from 1 species